GCUUUGGUGGCUCAGUUGGUCAGAGCGUUGGUCUCAUAGAAAUAUGACUCAAUUCACCAGAAUUGGGAUAUCCAAAGGUCGUGAGUUCGAGCCUCACCCAGAGCA